rnacentral:lncRNA from 1 species
UUUAUUUACUAGAACAGAACUAUUUAUUUACGAAACUUAAAAAUUGUCUUAGAAGUAGAAAAAGUUUUGAGUUUUAUAAAUGAAAUGGACAAAAUUCCACGUCUACUCUGUCUCCUUUCCUGACAUCACAUGUAUUAUGUAGUAAAUAUACUGAUUUUGUUUGGAAAAGUCCAGUUUUUAAAUUUCAGAAAGAUAGCAUGUUAUGUAGUCAAUAUUUCAUGUGUAACCAGCUGGAAUGCUUUCUAAGUGAUAUAACUAUACAUAACCCAAUAAAUAAGGCAUCCCUAUAAACUUGAAAAUCUAAUUUUUAAAAAAUUUUUGCCAGACAUUUGAAAAGUCACAAUUAGCAUGUUUAGAAAUUUACUCUGUUGGAAAAUAUUUCCAAUUUAAUAAAAAUAAACUUUGCUGAGUUUCAUAUGAAGAGAGAAAUCUUCAGAUGUAUGCCCAUUUAAAAAAAUCAUUUUUGGCCAGGUGUGGUGGCUCACGCCUGUAAUCCCAGCACUUUGGGAGGCUGAGGCAGGCGGAUCACGAGGUCAGGAGAUCGAGACCAUCCUGGCUAACACGGUGAAACCCCGUCUCUACUAAAAAUACAAAAAAUUAGCCGGGUGUGGUGGCGGG